rnacentral:rRNA from 1 species
GAUGAACGCUGGCGGCGUGCCUAAUACAUGCAAGUCGAGCGAACAGACGAGGAGCUUGCUCCUCUGACGUUAGCGGCGGACGGGUGAGUAACACGUGGAUAACCUACCUAUAAGACUGGGAUAACUUCGGGAAACCGGAGCUAAUACCGGAUAAUAUAUUGAACCGCAUGGUUCAAUAGUGAAAGACGGUUUUGCUGUCACUUAUAGAUGGAUCCGCGCCGCAUUAGCUAGUUGGUAAGGUAACGGCGUACCAAGGCAACGAUGCGUAGCCGACCGGAGAGGGUGAUCGGCCACACUGGAACUGAGACACGGUCCAGACUCCUACGGGAGGCAGCAGUAGGGAAUCGUCCGCAAUGGGCGAAAGCCUGACGGAGCAACGCCGCGUGAGUGAUGAAGGUCUUCGGAUCGUAAAACUCUGUUAUUAGGGAAGAACAAAUGUUUAAGUAACUAUGCACGUCUGGACGGUACCUAAUCAGAAAGCCACGGCUAACUACGUG